AUUGAACGCUAGCGGGAUGCUUUACACAUGCAAGUCGAACGAGUGGCGGACGUGUGAGUAAUAUAUCGGAACGUGCCCAGUAGCGGGGGAUAACUACUCGAAAGUGUGGCUAAUACCGCAUUCUCUUGUAUCCGCCGAUAUGGGAUUAGCUAGUUGGUGGGGUAAAGGCUCACCAAGGCAACGAUCCGUAGCUGGUUUGAGAGGACGACCAGCCACACUGGAACUGAGACACGGCCCAGACUCCUACGGGAGGCAGCAGUGGGGAAUUUUGGACAAUGGGGGAAAGCCUGAUCCAGCCAUCCCGCGUGUAUGAGAAGGCCUUCGGGUUGUAAAGUACUUUUGGCAGAGAAGCGGUAUCUGCAGAAGAAGCACCGGCUAACUACGUGCCAGCAGCCGCGGUAAUAC
rnacentral:rRNA from 1 species